rnacentral:rRNA from 2 species
UUAAAUUGAAGAGUUUGAUCAUGGCUCAGAUUGAACGCUGGCGGCAGGCCUAACACAUGCAAGUCGAGCGGAAACGAGUUAUCUGAACCUUCGGGGAA